rnacentral:rRNA from 1 species
GAUUCCCCUAGUAACGGCGAGUGAACCGGGAAGAGCUCAAAUUUGAAAUCUGGCGUGCUCAGUGCGUCCGAGUUGUAAUCUAUAGAGUCGUUUUCCGUGCCGGACUGUGUCCAAGUCCCUUGGAACAGGGUAUCAAAGAGGGUGAUAAUCCCGUACUUGACACAAUGACCGGUGCUCUGUGAUACGUCUUCUACGAGUCGAGUUGUUUGGGAAUGCAGCUCAAAAUGGGUGGUGAGUUCCAUCUAAAGCUAAAUAUUGGCGAGAGACCGAUAGCGAACAAGUACCGUGAGGGAAAGAUGAAAAGCACUUUGGAAAGAGAGUUAAACAGUACGUGAAAUUGUUAAAAGGGAAACGAUUGAAGUCAGUCGUGACUGAGAGGCUCAGCCGGUUCUGCCGGUGUAUUCCCCUCAGUCGGGUCAACAUCAGUUUUGUUCGGUGGAUAAGGGCAGUUGGAAGGUGGCACCCUCGGGUGUGUUAUAGCCAGCUGUCGCAUACAUCGGAUGAGACUGAGGAAUGCAGCUCGCCUUUAUGGCCGGGGUUCGCCCACGUUCGAGCUUAGGAUGUUGACAUAAUGGCUUUAAACG